GUAGUCAUAUGCUUGUCUCAAAGAUUAAGCCAUGCAUGUCUAAGUAUAAACAAAUUCAUACUGUGAAACUGCGAAUGGCUCAUUAAAUCAGUUAUAGUUUAUUUGAUGGUAACUUGCUACAUGGAUAACUGUGGUAAUUCUAGAGCUAAUACAUGCUGAAAAGCCCCGACUUCUGGAAGGGGUGUAUUUAUUAGAUAAAAAACCAAUGGGUGAAAGCCCUUCUUGGUGAUUCAUAAUAACUUCUCGAAUCGCAUGGCCUUGCGCCGGCGAUGCUUCAUUCAAAUAUCUGCCCUAUCAACUUUCGAUGGUAGAGUAGUGGUCUACCAUGGUAUCAACGGGUAACGGGGAAU
rnacentral:rRNA from 1 species